AGUGCAAAGGGAUACACUGGACUGCAGCAGGUUAUAAAAUACAAAGGAAAAAAGACACUGCCAUUUUUAUACGACCGCAAAAUUUGAAAAAUUUUUCGUCGUAUAUUGCUAUCACGUUGGCGUCGGCGUCGUCGUCGUCGUCCGGCGUCCGAAUACUUUUAGUUUUCGCACUCUAACUUUAGUAAAAGUGAAUGGAAAUCUAUGAAAUUUUAACACAAGGUUUAUGACCACAAAAGGAAGGUUGGUAUUGAUUUUGGGAGUUUUGGUCCCAACAUUUUAGGAAUUAGGGGCCAAAAAGGGCCCAAAUAAGCAUUUUCUUGGUUUUCGCACUAAAACUUUAGUUUAAGUUAAUAGAAAUCUAUGAAAUUUUGACACAAGGUUUAUGACCACAAAAGAAAGGUUGGGAUUGAUUUUGGGAGUUUUGGUUCCAACAGUUUAGGAAUUAG
rnacentral:lncRNA from 1 species